UUUCGGGUCUCGCUGGCACCUCGGAAGGCAGGGGAGCUAAGGGCAGCCCAGGCGAAAGAAACUCAAGCCCGACACCCUAGCGCCGCGGAGAGACCCCCGGGUGCCUCGGGCAGAUCGUGUUGGGGCAAAGCAGGUCUCCGGAACCCUGUGGCGCUUGGGGUCCUCUCCUACCCGCGCUCCGAACUCGCGCGCUCGGCCUCAGAGGGCUCCGCGCAGCGGACCGGCAGGCGGGCGUCGGGGCUGCUGGAGUGAAGCCGGGAGCCGCGCUGCUGUAGCCGCUCUGCUCACAACCAUCACACUCGGAAAACUUUGCAAAAACUUUGUCCAGCCGGAGCCUCUCUAGUAAGCCCCUUCCUCUGUUCCAAGGGGGAAAAAUAAAAAGAUAAAAAGAAGGGGGACAGGA